UCGGGAAUUUUGGGCAAUGGGCGAAAGCCUGACCCAGCAACGCCGCGUGAAGGAUGAAGUCUCUCGGGAUGUAAACUUCGUAAGAAUAGGAAGAAUAAAUGACGGUACUAUUUGUAAGGUCCGGCUAACUACGUGCCAGCAGCCGCGGUAAUACGUAGGGACCAAGCGUUGUUCGGAAUCACUGGGCGUAAAGCGCACGUAGGUGGAUAGUUAAGUUCGGGGUGAAAUCCCAGGGCUCGAACCCUGGAACUGCCUCGGAUACUGGCUAUCUCGAGUCCGGAAGAGGUGAGUGGAAUUCCCAGUGUAGAGGUGAAAUUCGUAGAUAUUAGGAAGAACACCGGUGGCGAAGGCGGCUCACUGGUCCGGUACUGACACUGAGGUGCGAAAGCGUGGGGAGCAAACAGGAUUAGAUACCCCGGUAGUCCCUGAGCGGGCUGGCAAGGCGCAU
rnacentral:rRNA from 1 species